AGUAACGCGUGGGCAACCUGCCCCGCACUGGGGGACGAACAGCCGGAAACGGCUGCUAAUACCGCAUAUGCGCACAGCUUUGCAUGAAGCAGUGUGGAAAACUCCGGUGGUGCGGGAUGGGCCCGCGUCUGAUUAGCUGGUUGGCGGGGCAACGGCCCACCAAGGCGACGAUCAGUAGCCGGCCUGAGAGGGUGGACGGCCACAUUGGGACUGAGACACGGCCCAGACUCCUACGGGAGGCAGCAG
rnacentral:rRNA from 1 species